rnacentral:tRNA from 1 species
GGGAUUGUGGCUCAGUGGUAGAGCACUUGCCUAGAAUGUACAAGGCCCUGGGUUCAAUCCUCAGCAAUACAU